GACGAACGCUGGCGGCGUGCUUAACACAUGCAAGUCGAACGGAAAGGCCCUGCUUGCAGGGUACUCGCGUGGCGAACGGGUGAGUAACACGUGGGUGAUCAGCCCUGCACUUCGGGAUAAGCCUGGGAAACUGGGUCUAAUACCGGAUAGGAGCCAUUUUUAUUGUGAUGGUUGGAAAGUUGUUUCGGUGUGGGAUGAACUCGCGGCCUAUCGGCUGGUUGGUGGGGUAAUGGCCUACCAAGGCGGCGACGGGUAGCCGGCCUGAGAGGGUGGACGGCCACAUUGGGACUGCGAUACGGCGCAGACGCGUACGGGGGGCAGCAGUGGGGAAUAUUGCGCAAUGGGCGGAAGCGUGAGGCAGCAACGCCGCGUGCGGGAUGACGGCGUUCGGGUUGUAAACCGCUUUGGCCUGUGAAGAAGCGUGAGUGACGGUAAUGGGUAAGGAAGCACGGGCUAACUACGUG
rnacentral:rRNA from 1 species